UCUGUUUCUCUCUUUAGGGCUCACCAUCUCUAGCAAUCAGAGAAAUGGAAAUUAAAACUACUCUAAGAUACCAUCUCACACCAGUAAGAAUGGCAGCCAUUAUGAAGUCAAACAACAAUAAGUGCUGAAAAGGAUGCAGGGAAAAAGGUACACUCAUACACUGCUGUUGGGACUGCAAAUUGGUUGCAGCCAAUUUGGAAAGCAGUAUGGAGAUUCCUUGGAAAGCUGGGAAUGGAACCACCAUUUGACCCAGCUAUUCCUUUUCUCGGACUAUACCCAAAAGACCUAAAAACAGCAUACUACAGGGACACAGCCACAUCAAUGUUUAUGGCAGCACAAUUCAUAAUAGCUAAACUGUGGAACCAACCUAGAUGCCCUUCAAUGGAUGAAUGGAUAAAAAAAUGUGGCAUAUAUAUAUAUAUAUAUAUAUAUAUAUAUAUAUGAAUAUUACUCAGCACUAAAAAAUAACAAGAUCAUGGCAUUUUCAGGGAAAUUGAUGGCAUUAGAGCAGAUUAUACUAAGUGAAGUUAGCCAAUCCCUAAAAAAACAAAUACCCAAUGUGUUCUCUGAUAUAAGGGAGGUGACUCAAAAUGGGGUAAGGAGGAAGAGUGUGAGAAGAAGAUUAUCACUAAAUAGGGAAGAGAGGUGGGUGGGAAAGGGAGGGAAAAGGGGAAUUGCAUAGAAGAUGGAAGGAGACCCUCAUUAUUAUACAGAAUACAUGUAUGACGAUGCGAGGAAAAAGAAAAAAAAAGAAGUGUGCCACAUUAGAUUGGGUAGAGAGAAAUGAUGGGAGGGGAGGGGUGGGGAAGGGGGAAAGGAAGGGCAGCAGAUUAAAACAGACAUUAUUAUUGCUGUAUGUAUAUAUGUGACUGCAUGACCCAUGGAUUCUGCAACCUGUACACUCAGAAAAAGAAGAAAUUAUAUCCCAUCUGAUUCAAAUGUAUGAUAUGUCAAGAUCAUUGUACUGUCAUGUGUAACUAAUUAAAACAGAUAAAAAAAAAUUCUGAAAACACAAGGGUGUCCAGUGCUGAGCUUCUUGAAACAACCUCUAUUUGAAG
rnacentral:lncRNA from 1 species